rnacentral:rRNA from 1 species
CAAUAGCGUAUAUUAAAGUUGUUGCAGUUAAAAAGCUCGUAGUUGGAUUUGUGGCGUACGGUGUGUUCCGGGCACUUGUUGUCUGAGUAACCUGCUGUUGCCAUCCUUGGGUGGAACUUGUGUGGCAUUAGGUUGUCGUGCAGGGGAUGCCCAUCAUUUACUGUGAAAAAAUUAGAGUGUUCAAAGCAGGCUUAUGCCGUUGAAUAUAUUAGCAUGGAAUAAUGAGAUAGGACUUUUUUGCUAUUUUGUUGGUUUGCGCAAAGAGGUAAUGAUUAAUAGGGACAGUUGGGGGUAUUCGUAUUCCAUAGUCAGAGGUGAAAUUCUUGGAUUUUUGGAAGACGAACUACUGCGAAAGCAUUUACCAAGGAUGUUUUCAUUAA